AUAAAGAGUUACAUAUAUUUGUUAGGAAUGGCCAAGUCGGGUGUGUUAACCAUCCUUCUUGUGGUGUUCGUCAUCUCAUCAGACAUUGUUCAAGUAACGAGCGGUCUCAAUUGCUGCUUUGACAAUAAUAUUGGACCAUGUAACGACGGAGAUUGUAAUCAACGCUGCUUGCAAAGUAAUUGCGGCAAAGGAGGCAAAUGCAAAAGCAUAAGCUCAAAAGUAUAUUGUCACUGCUUUUGCUAGCAAUCCAAACCUAAACCUCUCAACUUAUUAUGUUGUUUGGUCUUUAUUAUCCAAUUCAAUAAAAAUAUGAAAAUUCAUUAUACUUGAGCC